GACGAACGCUGGCGGCGUGCUUAACACAUGCAAGUCGAACGAUGAAGCUAGAGCUUGCUCUGGUGAAUUAGUGGCGAACGGGUGAGUAACACGUGAGUAACCUGCCCCGAACUCUGGGAUAACUGCUGGAAACGGUAGCUAAUACUGGAUACGACCUACGAAGGCAUCUUCUGUAGGUGGAAAGAAUUUCGGUUCGGGAUGGACUCGAGGCCUAUCAGCUUGUUGGUGAGGUAAUGGCUCACCAAGGCGACGACGGGUAGCCGGCCUGAGAGGGUGACCGGCCACACGGGGACUGAGACACGGCCCAGACUCCUACGGGAGGCAGGAGUGGGGAAUAUUGCACAAUGGGCGCAAGCCUGAUGCAGCAACGCCGCGUGAGGGAUGACGGCCUUCGGGUUGUAAACCUCUUUUAGUAGGGAAGAAGCGAAAGUGACGGUACCUGCAGAAAAAGCACCGGCUAACUACGUGCCAGCAGCCGCCGUAA
rnacentral:rRNA from 1 species